CGGGGAAAACGGGAAACCCAGGCGAGAGCGGCGGAGCUUCCCAACCGCACACUUCCUCCCUCCCUCCGUUUGUCCCGGCCGGGGAGGGCGCCGCACCGCGCCGGCCUUGGGAGGGCGGGGACCGCUCAGCUGGCAGUCCCACUGGUUAUCCGACCUUGUGCUCUGGCUUAGGCGGAGACGUUCCCUCCAGCUCAGAGCGCCUUCUCCCAUCUCCUCGGUCCUCUAGGCUUCGGGUGAAAUGGAAGUUCUUCUCAAAUUAAACAACAAGGGAAAACGUCCUGUAUCCAAGAUAGACGGUUAUAUGAACAAAGAAGCCUUUUGGGAGCUCACUAGAGGACAUCGAUGAUGACAAGAGGAACAAAAGAAGACAGAGAAUUAAUGUGAGGAACAGGACGGGGGCUCCUAAUAAUCCCCAUGUUGUGAAACCACAUGGCUACAGCUGAGCUGCUAAUUUGGCUCUGAGCAUCCAGGUAGCCAGAUGAGAAAGAAGAGGCUUCUCUUGCCGCAUCUUCGCCGCAUAGGGCCAACUGAAUAUUUUGAUGAGUCCAGUUCACCCAUGGAGAAUUCGUAUUCAUCCAGGCUUUUAUUAUCUCUUGCUCUGAAAAUCUGCUCUGGAGGACAACUGUUGACCCCAGUCUCCUGCCCUGUCAUUUUCUCUCCAUUGUUUGGCAUUAAAAUCCUGUGUAUCUAUCUAUCUAUCUUUAUUUUUGAUGGUACUUUUUAAAAUAACUCAUGCUCCUGGUUAAAAAAAAGUCAAAUGAUACAAAGGUUGUUAAACGUGUCUGUCUUCUUGAGCUCCCUCCUGGACUCCCCAGUGUGAAAACUGUUUCCACCCCAGAUCCGAGUCAGCCUGUCCUAAACUGACCCUUCAAAGUUGGCGAUGAUUUUCCAGUCAUUAGAAUGUAAUGACCAAAUUAUAUUAUGUAAUAUGUAACAACCAAAUAUGUAACUUAAAUAUGUAACAACCAAAUAAACAGA
rnacentral:lncRNA from 1 species